CCUACGGGAGGCUGCAGUGGGGAAUAUUGCGCAAUGGGCGAAAGCCUGACGCAGCGACGCCGCGUGAGGGAUGAAGUAUUUCGGUAUGUAAAGCUCUAUCAGCAGGGAAGAAGAUGACGGUACCUGAAGAAUAAGCACCGGCUAACUACGUGCCAGCAGCCGCGGUAAUACGUAGGGGGCAAGCGUUAUCCGGAUUUACUGGGUGUAAAGGGAGCGCAGGCGGGAUAGCAAGUCUGGUGUGAAAGCCCAUGGCUCAACCAUGGAACUGCACUUGAAACUGUGCGGCUAGAGUAUGGGAGGGGCAGGUGGAAUUCUUAGUGUAGGGGUAAAAUGCGUAGAGAUUAAGAGGAACACUAGUGGCGAAGGCGACCUGCUGGACAAUAACUGACGUUGAGGCGCGAAAGCGUGGGGAGCAAACAGGAUUAGAUACCCGAGUAGUC
rnacentral:rRNA from 1 species